rnacentral:rRNA from 1 species
UACGAAGGGGGCUAGCGUUGCUCGGAAUCACUGGGCGUAAGGCGCACGUAGGCGGACUCUUAAGUCAGGGGUGAAAUCCUGGAGCUCAACCCCGGAACUGCCUUCGAUACUGGGUAUCUUGAGUUCGGAAGAGGUGAGUGGAAUUGCGAGUGUAGAGGUGAAAUUCGUAGAUAUUCGCAGGAACACCAGUGGCGAAGGCGGCUCACUGGUCCGAUACUGACGCUGAGGUGCGAAAGCGUGGGGAGCAAACAGG